rnacentral:rRNA from 1 species
UACGUAGGGGGCGAGCGUUGUCCGGAUUUAUUGGGCGUAAAGAGCGUGUAGGCGGCCAGGUAGGUCUGGCUGUGAAAACUCGAGGCUCAACCUCGAGACGUCGGCGGAAACCAUCUGGCUAGAGUCCGGAAGAGGAGAGUGGAAUUCCUGGUGUAGCGGUGAAAUGCGUAGAUAUCUGGAGGAACACCGGUGGCGAAGGCGGCAUCCUGGACCGGUAUUGACGCUGAGGAGCGAAAGCCAGGGGAGCAAACGGG